CAAAAACCAUCUCCCUAUACCUCUCUCGCAAGACGGCUCGGUCGCAAUCUCUUUGUUUCUAGCUAGGAAACACUGCAGGUAGUUGUUAUUUCAGAGCAGUCUUUUUAGUAGCAGUAUCGAGAUGCGGUUGAAGAGGAAGAAGAAGAUGAAGCGGACCUGUACGAAUGUCCGAUCUAUGACGAGAGGCGCUGACUGGAGGCCUCAGUUUUUGGAAGAAUUAGUGUACUUAGUGUCAAUAGUGGAAAUACUGGUAGGUUUAGAUGUGUGUAUUUUAGUAUGCCACUUAUGGCAACUU